rnacentral:rRNA from 1 species
AAUGAACGCUGGCGGCGCGCCUAAUACAUGCAAGUCGAGCGAGAAGACGUAGCAAUACGUUUGUAAAGCGGCGAACGGGUGAGGAAUACAUGGGUAACCUACCCUCGAGUGGGGAAUAACUAGCCGAAAGGUUAGCUAAUACCGCGUACGCUUCUUGGACUUCGGUUCAGGGAGGAAAGCGAUGCCGAGGGUAUCGCGCUCUUGGAUGGGCUCAUGUCCCAUCAGCUUGUUGGGAGGUAACGGCUCACCAAGGCUUCGACGGGUAGCUGGUCUGAGAGGACGAUCAGCCACACUGGCACUGCGACACGGGCCAGGCUCCUACGGGAGGCAGCAGUAAGGAAUAUUGCGCAAUGGGCGAAAGCCUGACGCAGCGACGCCGCGUGGGGGAUGAAGGUCUUCGGAUUGUAAACCCCUUUUCGGGAGGGAAGA